UCUAUACUCCAGCCUGGGUGACAGAAUGAGACCCUGUCUCAAAAAGAAAAAAGAAACAGAACAUUCCCUGCUACCCAGAAACAUCCCUUGUACCCAUUCUAGUCCAUGUCUAAUCCACCCUACCCUGCCAGCAACAUAACCAUUCUCCUGCCUCCGAACUACACAGGCUUGAUUUGCCAGUUUCUGUUUCUUACGUAAAUGGAAUCGUACAGUGUGUGUGCCCUUGCACUGGGCUGGUUUUGUUCCACAUUGCAUUUGUAAGAUUUAUCAAUAUUGUUUGUUGUGGUAGUUGAUUCAUGCUCGUGGCCACACCGUAGUAUUCCAUUGGGUGAGUAGAUCACAAAUGUAUUUAUCCAUUCUCCUGUUAAUGGGCAUUUGGGUUGUUUCCAGUCUGGGGCUAUUAUGAAUACUGCUUCUAUGAACAUUCCAGACCAGCGCUUCUCAAACGUUAAUGUACUCAUGAAUCACCUAGAGAACUUGUUAAAAUCAAGAUCCUGAUUCAGUAGGUCUGAGUGUUUGCAUUGCUCUUAGGUUCUCGGGUGAUGCCGACGCUGCUGGCCUGUGACCAUACUUUGAAGACUGGGGCUGUAUUUUGGUGAACAUAUUUCUCUGGGGUAGGUACCCAGGGGUGGCAUUGCUGGAGCACGGGGAGGCAUAUGUUUAGCUUUAGUAGACGCUGCAAGUAGUUUUCCCAGAUACUGACACUUCCUCCAGCCCUGUAUGAGGUUCCAGUUGAUCCACAUCCUUGUCAACACUUGGUAUUAUCUGUCUUCCCUUGUAGCCAUUCUGGUGGGUAUGUAGCACUAUCUCCUUGUGGCUUAAAUUUUCAUUUCCUUGGUGACAGAUGAGGUUAAGCAUCUUUUCGUGUGUUCAUUGACUGUUGGGAUCUCCUCUUAUGUGAGGCACUGAUUUCAGUCUCUGGCCCAUUUUUCUAUUUGAUCAUCUCUUCCUUACUGAAUUUUUAGGAGUGCUUGAUUCUGCACACAUCAGAUAAACUGUACAUUCCUUCUCUCUCUCUGUGGCCUUGCCUUUGCGCUUUUAUUGCACUUGUUCUUUUUAAUGCAACAAUUACUGCUCAGGACUCGGGAGUAGGGUGCAGAGGUUCCCAUUUUGCCCGUCCUAACCAGAUUACAGUAUGUUGCUGGUGGGAUUAUCUUUCAGCUAGUUAUUCACGCACACACCCCACACUCUUGUUCCUGACCUUUCUCAGGGAGACAUCUCCCCAAAUUCAUGAACAUUCCUCCACCUAGCCUGGCCCCACUAUCUAAGCUGCUCAAGCCAGGGUGUCCACUUAACCAUGGUCUUCCUUUUGCAUUUUCCCACCUCUUGAUGCUUUUUGACUAUGAGAUGAGUUCAUCUUUCCUGGACAUCCAGAGAGACGCCUGGCAUUUUUAGCUGAUCAAUAGACCCUUUGUGGCCUAACAGAGACACACCUGAAGGUGGUUGGUCCCAGAUGCGAGGAGCAAAGGCAAAAGAGAGGCAGCUGAAUGCCCCGGCUUUUAAUCUGUGUGCGUUGACUCCUGCCAUGAAACUGACACCCUCCAAGGACCCUCCUCACACUCACCUCCUGUUCGAUGCUGGUCUCCAGCCACCUUCACUCCUGACCCAGCAGCUGAGCACAGCCGACCUGCUCGCAGAUCCAGCACGCCAGGAGGGUCCUGCUGUCCAGCUUCCCACGGGACUCCACCCCCUGGCAUCCCUUGAGGACAAACAGUAGAGGGGCAAAACUUGGAGCCUCCAAAGCCCCUCUGCAGGGGCUGGAUCUGCAGCUACGCCACUCACAGAUCUUGUGUACCAGGCAAGUGCUAACCUGUCUGAGCCUCAGUUUUCCCAUGUAUAAAAUGGGGAUAAUGGUGGUACUCAACUGGUAGAGCUGCAGAGGGGGUGAAAUGAAGUUUCACGGGUAAAGUGCUAAGAACGUGCCUGGCCCACAGGGGUCAUUGUGUGGCUGUCUACCACUAUUAUUGUUCUUAUUCUUUUAUUAUUUAUUUAUUUAUUUAUUUAUUUAUUUAUUUAUUUAUUUUGAGACAGAGUCUUGCUCUGUCACCCAGGCUAGAGUGCAGUAGCAUGAUCUCAGCUCACUGCAACCUCCAUCUCCUGCGUUCAAGCAAUCCUCCUGCCUCAGCUUCCGGAGUAGCUGAGAUUACAGGCACACGCCACCACGCCAGCUAAUUUUUGUAUUUUUAGCAGAGACGGGGUUUCACCAUGUUGGCCAGGCUGCAGAACCUGACCUCAAGUGAUCUGCCUACCUUGGCCCCCCAAAGUGUCGGGAUUACAGGCGUGAGCCCCCAUACCCAGCCCUGCCACUGUUAUUCUUAUGACUGGUCUGCCCGUGCCCAGGUUCUCUCCACCUGCCUUCUCCCAUCUCAUACCUGCUGAUAUCCACUGUGCCUUCUCCCACUUCCAGGCCUUUGGACCUGCUGUUCCUCUUGCCUGGAGUGUGCUUUCCUCUGUUCUCCACCUGGGGACCCCCCCACUUUGUUCAUGCCCAGAGGCCAGUGUCACCCCACCUCCUUCGGGGCACCUCCCUGACCCCUGGUACUGGUGCUCUGAGCUUGCCAGUGGGAUGGAUGGUUGGUCUUCAGGUUGUGGGGAGCAGGAGUCAGUCUCUCAUGAUGCUUAUAAGGGAGGAUAUUUAUUGAGCACUUACUGCAUACCAGUUUAAUUAUGGGGGCUUUUUAUUGAGCACCUUAUCUUGGUCUUACUAACACCCUGUGACCACCAGCAAUAGAGGCCCACGCAUGCAAAGCCCCAGGUUCUGCAGUGAGAAGGUGGCUGAGGGGAUUAUUAUUAUUUGUUUAUUUAUUUAUUUAUUUUUGGAGAUGGAGUCUUACUCAGUCACCUAGGUUGGAGUGCAGUGGUGUGAUCUCGGCUUACUACAACCUCUGCCUUCUGGGUUCAAGUGAUUCUUCUGCCUCAGCCUCCUGAGUAGCUAGGACUACAAGCACACACCACCGACGCCCAGCUGAUUUUUUUGUAUUUUUAGUAGAGAUGGGGUUUCGCCAUGUUGGCCAGGCUGGUCUCGAACUCCUGACCUCAAGUGAUCCUCCCACCUCAGCCUCUCAAAGUGCUGGGAUUACAGGCGUCAGCCACUGCACCCUGAUGGCUGAGGGGAUUUGAACCCAGCCCUGCUCCUCCAGCCCUUUCUUUUCCCCGAGAACUACAUAACCUGCCUUCCAGCUCAUGCCUUUUUCCUGCUUUCACUAGAUCUUCAUCAGGUGUGGCUGCUAAUAACCCCUGCUGGCUGCUCUCUUCCCCCACCAGGAACCCUAGGAAAGGAGAACUUGUCUGUCCAGUUCAUCAUCGCAGCCCACCCGGGGUCUGACACAGAGAAGGACCCAAAAAGUCCUGGUUAAGUCAGCAGCUCUCAGGGUGUGGGUCAGUGACCCCUGGAUGUCCUGAGACCUUUUCCUUGGGGUUUGCAAGAUCAAAUUACUUUCGUAACAAUACUAAGCUGCUACUUGCCCUUUUUACUCAUAUUCUUUCACAAACACAUGGUGGAAUUUUCCAGAAGCUAUCCAAGGUGUGAUGACAUCAUCGUUCCUAUGGCUAAUAGCGUGUGUGUUUGUGUAUCUUUGUGCUUUAAACAUGUCUCAGUUUUAAUUUUGAAUAUGAUGACUAUUGAUUGCUGUGACCUACCCAGACAAAGCCCUUUAGGUUCCUCCAUCAUUUUUAAGCACCUAAAAGGGUCCCAAGACACAAAAGUUUUGAGAGCCACUGUGUUCAAUGAAUAAAUGAAUGAGUUGGGUGAAGGAAAGAGUGAAUGGAGUGUGAGCCAAGGCAUUUGGACCUGGCUUGUCUUUAAGGGUUGGUGGUCAGGGUGGCGGAAAAUGGAUUCAAGGGAGGAAAGAGCGACACAGGAGUCCAGGAGAGAGGGAGACGUGGAAUUACCCAAAUCCCACCUGCCUGACUGCGCCCCAUAGCCCUGAUUAGUCCCUCCAAAUACCCUCUGACCUGGCACAAGCAUCCCCGGCACAGCCGGCGGCUGACUGUUCUGAGGUGUUUUCUACAGCAAAACAAUUUGAAAUAAUUAGAACUUUACAAAAUGUCUUUAAACACGCUGGUAAUGGGCAUAAGAAAACACUUGUGAAGUGUAAUCAGUUAUUAGCAGCUGAUCAAUUAUCCUCAUGGAUAGCUGUUGGGGGGGAGAAAAGAAGCAAUAAUAAGCCCCUUGAUUAACUAAUUUGAAUAUCUUUGGGGAACAAAUUCUGAAAUUUCUUUCUAUUUUCUCCCUCGCUAUUGUAAUUGUAACGCCGGCCGCACAUCUGCUGGAUAAAGACGGAUGGAAAUGGUAAUGAGUGUUCUGCUGUGAACAGGCCCCUUGUUCGGGAUCCAGGAAUGAAGGCGCUGGAGGUGUGGGGGCUGCGGGGGCUGCCGGCUGGGCCUGGGGACCUCUCACUGGCUGGAGUGGGCAGCACUGCCAUGGGCUUGGCCUCCGCCUCCUGAUGAGAUGUCAAGGUCGGGGGAAGCCGGCUGCGAUGGGCAAAGGGCAUGCGCAGACAGGUGCCCCUCUGGGAAACAUUACAGAUUCUCCUGAAGACCCUCUAGGGCCAGCUGGGAUGGAGACAGUCUGUCCCAGGAUGGAGCAGACAGUGAAGGAAACCAACAUUCUGGAUGCCAAGGUUGGGCUCCUCCGCAACCUUGCUGGGUGAUAGGCUUACAAAAGGCAGGGGUGACUCAGCUGGACAGCAUUAAGGACCUCCACAUUCCUGCGGGGUCUUUGGUCUCACAGUGCAACAUGAACAUAUCACACCGGUGGCCACCUGGGUAGCAGUAGCCUUGUCACUAAAGCGAAUCUCUAGAGCCAGACUCUUUGUCUUGAAUCCAGCUCUGCCCCCUCAGCUGUGUGACCUUAGGCAAGUGACUUAACCUCUCUGUGCCUCAGCGGUGCUCAUCAGCGAAACAGGAAUAAUAACAGCACCCCCCUCCUGGGGUUCUUGUAGCACAGGGCCACGCACGUGAUAAGCACAAAAUAAAUGGAAGCCGUCACUGUUAUUAUUCUCUCCAUCCUGCAUAAUUAACAGGCUAGACCCGAGUUUGCAAACUGGCAGGCCGGGGUCCAACUCCCCAGUAAAUCUGUUUUGUUUGGCACAAACUGCAUUGUUAAAAUUUUUGUCUGAACUUGUUGCCAGUGAUUACAGUUCAGGAGAUUUUCACAUCAAAAAUCUGGAUUUGGGGCCUUUCUGGAGAACUAGACUCCCGACCCUGCUGGGCCCACAGUUCCAUGCAGCACCGAUCGGCCAGAGCUGAGCAUUGCAGCCUCCUGUAGCAGGGACGCUGGUCUUUCCUUUGCCAUGUCCCCAUCCCACCCAGUCAUUCCAGGGCAUCACCUCGUGGGCCCCUGCCCUCACCUGUAAGCCCCAGGAGGUCAACUGGGAACAGGUCACCUCGGUCCCUGAUGUACCCGGUGCCCGUCACACAGCAGGUGCUUAAAGCAUAUUUGAAUGAGCGUGUCUUCAGACGAGAGGCUGAUUACAUGAGCAGAUCCAGUUCGCGAGCAGCCCCAGAGCCUGGGUGGUCUUGCCUGAGCGAGGCAGCAAACUCCAGCCUUGGUUGUGUCUAUCUGGGGACCCCCAGCUGUCCAGCUCCUGUACCACCCAGUGGCCAUCAGAAGAAAGUCCUGCUGCCUGUGAACUCCCAUCUCCCUCUCCCCAACCCUACAGGAGAUGUUCUGGAGACCCACAUGCGGGGGUGUCAAACUCCUAUCCCUUAAGCAGCAGAUCUGAGGCCCAAAGUGCACCAGAGAAGCCACAAACAGCCCCGUGGCCAGCCAGCACCUGCAGUCACUGGUCCACGUUCCUCUCAUUCAGACAAGGCCUUUUCUGUAUUUUGUUUGAAGCUGUUCAAAAAAGAGCAUGUGAAACCACUUUUAAAAUCCCUCCCUCCCUUUCCUGCCCAACGCACCUUUUUUUCCCUCCCCUGACUGUUCCAUCGCUUAAAAAUGGCUUAACCAAUUUGGGUUAUUUUUAGAAAAAUGCUGGUAUGUUGGCUGACAACCUAUAUUCUAAGUUUCAACCUGAUAUGGAAAAGACAGAGUUUAUAAACCCCUAGGAGAAAAAAAAAAGAAACACAAAACAUUGCUUUAGAAUAGAAAUCAUCUGAAACUGACCCCAUGGGUCCCGGCCAGCGGGGCAUCACUGGGCACCAGCCUCCGGUGUGAGAUUUCAAGGGUACAGAAUGAAAUUGGUUCUUGCAAGCUUCUGCCAACAUCGCUGGGAGAACUGGGUGGAGCAUCUUGUGGACUGACAGACACGAGUUGGAACCCUGGUUCUUCCACGCUCUGUCCUUGAGCUGGGGAAGCGCCUUCCCUGAGCCCUUGGGUCUGCCAUCUGUGACAUGGGGAUACUGGUAAUCACCGUAGCUAGGGACACAGAGCCCAACACUAAGGACUUGUCCAUAAUGUUUGUUAUAAUCUUGAUGGACCAAUGCAAAGACAAGGCUCUCAAAGCCAGCACAAGCCUUAUGAAUAUGAGGAGUGGCUGCUAAGCCUAGCUUCCCCUACCUCCUCAUUUCUUUUUUUUCCAGCAGCUUUAUUGAGAUAUAAUUGAUAUGCCAUGAAAUUCACCUAUUAUACAUGUACAACACAAUCGAUUUAGUAUAUUUAUGGAGUUGUACAACCAUCACCACAUCCAGUUUUAAAACAUUUCUGUCACCCCAAAAAAGAUCUUUUGGGUCCUUUUCCAGUCACUGUCUGAUCCCACUCCCAGCCCCAGGAAACCACAAAUCUAUUUGCUGUAUCCAUAGAUUUGCCUUUUCUGGUCGUUUCGUACAAAUGGGAUUAUACAAUCUGUGGUCUUUGUAUCAGCUUCUUACAUUAGGUAUAAUGUUUCCAAGGUUUGCCCAUGUGGUAACAUGUAUGAGUAUUUUGUUCUCUUGAUUGCUAAAUAAUAUUCCAUUGUAUGGAUAGACCACGUUUUAUCCGUUCAUCGGUUGAUGGGCAUGUGGGUUGUUUGUACUUUUUGGCUGUUGUGAAUAGCACUGCUGUGAAAGUUUGCACGCAGAUCUUUGAACACAUGUUUUCGAUUCUCUUGGGUAGAGGAGUGGAAUUGCUGGGUCAUAAGAUACAUUUAUGUCUAACUUAUUAAGAAACUGCCAAACUGUUUUUCUGAAGUGGCUGUACCAUGUUGCAUUCCCACCAGCAGUAUCUGGGCUUAGUAUUGUCUUUGUUGAUAUUUGAGGUUGCAUUUUUGGUCCCUGGUUUCAAUGAGAAUUUGGGCUGGGAAUUCUGGGAGCCACUGGAGCUUGAAGAAAUGAAUGGCAGGUGGGGGGCAUACAACAAAAUCGCACAUCCUCAGGUGUUCUAAAACAGCACUGUCCCAUAGAACAUGUAGAUGAUAUAUAUCUGAACCAUCCUGUACGGUAGCCACUACCCGUUGUGGUUACUGAGCACAUGACUAUGGCUUGUGCAACCGAGGAACUGAAUUUGUGAUUGCAUUUCAUUUAAAUUAACGUAGAAGUACUAAAUUUAAAUAACUACAGGAGGCUAGUGGCUGCUGUAUUGGACAGUGCAGUUCUAGAAGUUCAGGAUCACCACUCAGUAUGUUCUGGGUCCUUGAAUCUUUCAGAGGAUUGAGCAGAGUUCAAACCUUUUAAUCAUACAUAGCUGGAAUAGGCGUGGGGCUCAGGGACUAGGGGCUGCAUGUACAGGAAUAUUGUGUCUAGAUGGUGCUCAGUGACUCAGAGAAGAGGGGAUUUAAAUUGGGGCAUCUUGUAGAGGCACUAAAAGAGAGUGGACGGGCUCUGGAGCUAGGAGGACCCAGGUGCAAAUCCUAGCCCUGUUGCUUCCCAAGCCUGAGACCUGGGGCAACUGACCUAUUCCCUCCUAGCCUCAGUUUUCUCAUCUGCAAAAUGGAAGUACUAAUAUCUCUCUCGAAGGACUGCUGUGAGGCUCAGAGAAUAAUUCCUCUAAAUCCCCUAGCUCAGUGCCUACCACUUAGUCAGUGUGGGAAAGGAUCAGCUUCUGUUAUUGUUAUCUUUAUUGUUGGUACUAUUCUGCCUGGCCCCCAGGACUGGAUCAAUGCCAUGUCAGCCCAGAAUCCCAUCCUCAUCCGUGAAAGCUGGGAUGUUAGACUGUCAGCAUCACACAGGCAGGGACUUUGCGGUGGCCACUGUUGGAUCCCCAGUGCCUGGAACAGUGCCUGGCACAGAGGGGAUGCUCCUUACAUGUUUGUUGAAUGAAUAAAUGCGUACAUGCUACUGGCUUGUUGGCAAGCAGCGUGUAGGCAUCUUGAGGGUUCCUGGAGAAAACAACACCCUCCUUCAGAAAUGUGACUUGAAAAAUAGCACUGGGUUCAAUGCCAGUGGCGGCCUGUCUUGAGUGAAGGCAGAGACAGCUUCCCUGUCCUUAAAUGGCUUCAUCCAGCUGGAGCGUGGCUGUGGCUCAGGCCAGUCUAAGGUCAUCCAAGGCGGGUGGUAGAAUGGGUGAGGCUUGGCCAGGUCAGAUCCACCUCCCACCACCAGGGAGCCAUAGGAGAGGUUCACACAGUGAAAUAACACAGCCCCAAAAUGUGCAUGGGUUUACAUACAGGUAAUUCUCCCAGGCCCUAAAACAUCAGGAUGUGCUCACUUUUCCCACAGCAGUGCCCCCACUCAAGCCUGUUUGGGGGAACCCAGUGGUUUCAUCCCUUUCAUCUGGAAUUUCCUGCUACCCUCACUUCUUUCUUCCCUUUCUUGCUGCUGUUCUUGAUCUCUCCUUCCCCACCCUGGACCCUAAAGUGAGAUAUUUCCAUUCUUCCAGAAUUAUAAUUUUUUUGUUUUAUUUAUGUGAAAUAUUCUUUAGUUAUCAAAAUCUUUUCAUACUCAUUAUUGUCAUUCCGUGGGCAGAGAAACUUGGUGAGGUGAAUAUUCAUUUAAAAAUUGUCUAUUAAGGCCAGGUGCGGGUGGCUCAUGCCUGUAAGCCCAGCAUUUUGGGAGGCCGAGGUGGAUAGAUCACUUGAGUUCGGGAGUUUGAGACCAGCCUGGCUAACAUGGCAAAACCCCAUCUCUACUGUAAUACAAAAAUUAGCCGGGUGUGGUGGUGAACACCUGUAAUCCUAGCUACUCAGGAGGCUGAGGUGGGAGAAUCGCUUGAACCUGGGAAGCGGAGGUUGCAGUGAGCCGAGAUUGUGCCACUGCACUCCAACCUGAGGUACAGAGUGAGACCCUGUCUCAAAAAAAAAAAAAAAAGUGUCUAUUGGGUUUGGACCAGGCACUGGCCUAGAUGCUGGAGCUAUGGAGGUGAACAAAACAGACAAGAGUCCCUGCCCUCCCGGAGCUUUAGUCCUAGGAAGGAGGCUGAUAUUAAAUAUGCAGAUAACUAUCUUUGCAAAUGAUGUUGAAUGCCCUGUGGAAAAGGAGGAAGGAGAAAGUGGAUCUGCUUUAGAGGCAGGGGUGCCAGUGGGGCCAGCGAGGGCCCUGCUGAGAAGGUGGCAGCACUGGGGGGGAUGGGGAGGGAUUGCAGGCUGCAGGUACUGCACAUGCAAAUGCCCUGAGGUGAGAAAGAGGCUGGCUCAUCGGAGGCCCAGGAGCAGCAGGUGUAGCUGGAGUGCAUAGAGUUGGGCAGAGAGGGGCCCCCCUAAGGUAUAGGAAGCUGUGAGCAGUAGCCUGGCCCUCUAGGCCCAGUGAGAAGUCUGAUUUCAAUCUAAGACCAUGGCAAAAAUCAUGGACAAGUUUCAAGCCAAGGAAAGAGAAGAGAUGAUUCACGUUUUGAGCGACUCACUCCAUCCACCAUGUGGAAAAUGCAGGCAAGGGUGGGUGCGGAGAGAGAAGGGAGGAGGCCUCGGAAAUAAUCCAGGCAGGGGAGGGUAGCAGCUUGGACAAAGGCGGCAGUGGGAGUGGGUAUUAUUUCUGGACGUUGGCGGGAUUGAAGAGACGUGGCUGGGAUUCGUUCAACAUCACUAUUAUUCUAGUGGUACAAGUGAGGACACUGAAGCUCGGAGAGGCACGCUGACUUGCCCUGGGGUUAGAGCUAGCAAGAGCAGCAAGCAGGAUUCGAACUCGGGCUUUCCUGGUGCUGGAAUCUGCAUUCUGUACUUCAGUACUACUCUGGGCAGCUCAGUGUGGUAUCCAGCCCCAUCUCUCUAGCUGAAAUGAUGCCCACAAACAUUAUCCCCAUUGCGCAGAUUAGGAAACAGACUCAGGCGUUAGGAUUUCCUGGCUGGAGAACACCAAAGACAGGAUUUGAACCCAGCCCACACACCUAAGUUGGGAAUGUGCGUGCCCUGCAUCCUGGGCCUCUUCAGGCUCUGCAGAAACAAAGGGAAUGAGAUGGGUGGAGAGAAGGUCACGGAUCCACAGGCCCUGGUCUAGGGCAGGCCGGUCUGUCAUGCUCAGGUUUUCUCUUAGUCAAUAGAGUAAGAACUCAAUUCUGCUGAGACGUCUGGGUGCAUCUGUGUAUGUGUGUGUCUCCAUGUGAACGUGUCUGUCUGUGGUAUGUGUCUCUGUGUCCCGGCGUCCCUGUAUCUAUGUUUGUACGUGUGUUUCUGUGUGUUUGUGUGUUACAUGUAUGGAUCUCUGUGUGUCUGUGUGUAUGUAUGUGUCUGUGUGUGCAUUUAUGUGUCUGUGUGUAUUUAUGUCUCGUGUGUCUGUGUGUCCAUCUACAGUCACAGAGGAAAAAGCCCGCAGGAAGGCUCUUUUCUACAGCACUCUGUUUGCGUGCUGCGUGGUACCCUGCUCUUCGGUUUUUCACAGAUGAACAUGCAUUACUGUACUGUUAGAAUCAGGAGGGGAGGUGAACAGAGAUAAAAGUCUCCUCGGGUUGCGGGGGAGAGAGCAUUUGGAGAGAAAGCUUUUGCCUGUGUUGUUUUGGGAAGUGGCUUUUUAUGGUUUGGGGAGAGGAGAGGACACCCCCUCUUGCAGCAAGGAUCCGAGCCCUGUCUUUGAACUCUCCCACAGCUGGAUCUGCACCUGCCCUGUGUAGCUGUCCCUGGCCAUACCUUUAUUUACAGGGGAGGCAGUUGGGGGUCUCGGGUGCAGCUUCAGGUAAUUAAAGUCAGCUGGAUAGGCAUUUCACAUUCAUGUUGAUAAUAAGCACUUUAAUAAAAUGUAGAAAGAUAAAAUGGGA